rnacentral:rRNA from 1 species
GACGAACGCUGGCGGCGCGCUUAACACAUGCAAGUCGAACGGAAAGGCCUGCUUUCCCUUGUGGAUUGCGGGUACUCGCGUGGCGAACGGGUGAGUAACACGUGAGUGAUCUGCCCCCAACUUGGGUAUAAGCCUGGGAAACUGGGUCUAAUUCCCGAUAGGACUGCAGGGUGGUGCCUGUGGUGGAAAACGAUUUUCUAGUGGUUGGGGAUGAGCUCGCGGCCUAUCAGCUUGUUGGUGGGGUAAUGGCCUACCAAGGCGGCGACGGGUAGCCGGCCUGAGAGGGUGGACGGCCACAUUGGGACUGAGAUACGGCCCAGACUCCUACGGGAGGCAGCAGUGGGGAAUAUUGCACAAUGGGCGGAAGCCUGAUGCAGCGACGCCGCGUGGGGGAUGACGGCCUUCGGGUUGUAAACUCCUUUCGACCGCGAGGAAGCCACCUGGUUGGAAGGGUGGUGACGGUAGUGGUAGAAGAAGCACCGGCUAACUACGUG